GGGAUAACUUCGGGAAACCGGAGCUAAUACCGGAUAAUAUAUUGAACCGCAUGGUUCAAUAGUGAAAGACGGUUUUGCUGUCACUUAUAGAUGGAUCCGCGCCGCAUUAGCUAGUUGGUAAGGUAACAGCUUACCAAGGCAACGAUGCGUAGCCGACCUGAGAGGGUGAUCGGCCACACUGGAACUGAGACACGGUCCAGACUCCUACGGGAGGCAGCAGUAGGGAAUCUUCCGCAAUGGGCGAAAGCCUGACGG
rnacentral:rRNA from 1 species